rnacentral:lncRNA from 10 species
GGAACAUUGUAACAUAUCUCUGGGUCCAUCACCUGGAUAAUGUGACUCUUCUUGGGACCUAUUCACAGUGAAAAUUGUGACACAUCUCUUGGGUUCUGCCCACAAGGGAGAUUUUGACUUAUUGCUGUCCUCAAAAUGAAGGUGAUGUGACACUUUUGCCUUGGACCCACCCUUGAAGACAUUGUGACAUAUUUCUUAGCUCAGCAUCAAAACGAUGUGUCUUCUUAGUAGACUCUGCCAACAUGGGGCAUUGUGACAUAUCUUUGGGCCCAUCAGCUAUUGAUGUAACUCUCUUCUCUUACAUGGACUUUGCUCACAGAAGAGACUAUGAAAUAUCUCUGGGCCCAGCAAAUAGGUGAUGUGACUCUUCUCUACUGCUUGGGCUCUGCUCAUGAGAAAAUUGUGAUGGAUUGCUGAACCCAGCACCUAGGUAAUGUAACUCUCUUCUCUUGCCUGGGCCCGGCAUAAAUUGUGUAUUGUGACAUGGGGCUCGAUCACAAACCUAGGUAAUGCUACUCUCUUGCAUUGGCUCUGCCCACCAGGGUAUUAUGACACAACUUUUCAUUCAUCGCCUAGGCGAUGUGACCCCCCGCUUCUGCUUGAAUCUUGCCAAAAGAGGAAAUGAUAACAUAUCACUAUACUCAGCACCUAGGUGCCAUGACUUGCCUUUUUCCCCAGGCAAUGCAUAUAUUGGGAAUUAUGACAUAUCACUGGACCCAACAUGUAGGGAAUAAAAGACUCCUGCCUGUGUUCUGCUGACCUAGAACCUUGUGAAAUAUCUCUGCAUCUAUCACCCAGAGAAUCUGACUCUCCUUUUCUGCAUGUACCCUGUCC